GAAUCAAGAGGCAAUGGUGGAGAACCUUCUGGCAGAGGGGGAAAAUCUGAAGAAGUAUUUGAUGCAAGUUCUGUUGCCAUAUCUGAAGACCGAUGUUGAGCAUCUAUUUCAAAAGAACCAUGUCCAUCCAACGACUUAUCAUCCUUUGGAUGGCCAGAAACAUCUUCCAUUUCAAGUUCUCCAUCCACAUCCUCUAAGAUCCGAUGGCGC
rnacentral:misc_RNA from 1 species